GCUUCUCUCCACACAGAAACUAACAGUCCCUCUUCUCUUGCUCGUCCCCAACCAAGCCAUGGAGGAAGAACCCACCUCUCCUCACUAAAUCCACCACAUCCUCGCCGAAGUUCGACGGAGGACCAGCGGAGGAUGACGUCGACGAGCUUCUCCACCACCUCGUCCAUCUCUUCCUCACUGGAGACCUAGGAGAAGGCCACCCCAAGCUUCUUCUUCUUCACCAAGCCCUCGAGGAUGAACUCGAGCCAAUCUACACCGACGCUACUCUACUCCAACAAGUGGCCUCUUGCUCGUGCUCUACUCAUCGCCGAGGAUGACGUUUCGGAGUGUCGCGGUUGCGGAGUACCAAGGCAGGCACCUAUGUAUCUCAAACCCUACUUUUGAAUCUUAAUUUGCUAUUAUAAAGUAUUGUUUGUGCAUGAGCUUAACCCUACCUAGUUCAUGUGAUGUGAGUAGAAUCCAUUUGGCAUAUUUUCCCUUCUAGCUCUAGAAUCACUCAUACUAGGCAAAGUAUGUUUGUUUAGACUUAUCGACUUAAUUUGCUUAGCCAUGCUUAGCUUACGGUAGAAGUCGCGAUAUGGCAAGGUCACCAUCACUCGCGAGUUAUAGGGUGUUUGCCUAAAUAUACUUGAGUAGAUGAGAGAGACUAAAACAUGAGCAAGAUAAGAAUGAUGGAUCGAGACUUGAGCAAGUGUCAUAGGGUCAUGUUGGGAGUGGAAUCCAAGUGGCUUAGACUUGCUUGAGUUGGUUAAGGACCGACGCGUCAUCGCUUUGAUACUUGAGCACUUUUUCGUACAAACCACAUACUUAAUAAUGGGACGGUAAGCCAACUAGCAUGAGUCACACCUUGCCUUGAUCGGAUUCGGUGCGAGUUUUGAUGGAGUGUGAUCGGCGGUUCCGGUGCACUUGUCCUUCCCGGCCGUUCGAUCAUAGCCGGUUGUAUUUGUGUGAAAGGUUGAGGUAUGAAUCAACACUUAUCCUUGGCCGUGGGUAUGGUCGUUGGUCUUGUUCUCGUGUGGGAAAAAUUGUACACCCCUGCAGGGUUUUUGAUCUAUUGCAAUAGCCGCGCUAUCGGUCAUUGAGCACGCUCUUGUACUUUGACUUUAACGUAGAGUUCUCGUGAAGGGCUUAUGGAAGAUUGAGCUCAUGAUUACAUGAUCACUUUACUCAUGCAAUUGUAUUGGUGCUUGAUACAGAAAUAUUAGAUGCCAUGUCUUUGCUUAUUCACUUGAUAAAUUAUGCUCGCAUUUUUAUUUAUAAAUGUUAAAAUUUGACAAGCCUCAUGCAUCCACCAAAUGUAUAGUAUUAUGGAUAAGCCCUGCAAGUACGAAAUGUACUUACGGUGUUGCCGUUAAGUUGUUUUGCAGGUUUUCUUCUAAGGAGCGAUGGCCACGUUCAUCCCGCCGGAGCCGGCAAUGUGGAUGGAUGGUGGAAGUUGCUCAAAGCUUAUGCAAGUGGUGUCUUGGGCAAGGACAUCAUUAUUGCUACUUAUUACUUUCUAAUUUUCCGCUGCGUUUUACCUCUGACUAUAGGAAAACAUGAUAGGAUAUCCACCUAAUUUUAGAAUACAUUUUAGUUUGUAAAGAAAGUUUAAUGGCUGAAAACACUUAUGUAUAGUUGCUCAUGUUAUAGUUAAAUUCAUGAGUUUUGUAAAUUAAUAAUUAAGACUUGUAAUCACAACUUUAGAUUUCUGCUCUUAUAUAUCCUUGUGAUGGUUGUCAUGA